rnacentral:rRNA from 1 species
UACGUAGGUGGCAAGCGUUGUCCGGAUUUACUGGGCGUAAAGAGCGCGCAGGCGGUCAUUCAAGUCGAGUGUGAAAGCCCCCGGCUCAACUGGGGAGGGUCACUUGAUACUGUUUGACUCGAAGGCGGGAGAGGGAAGUGGAAUUCCCGGUGUAGUGGUGAAAUGCGUAGAGAUCGGGAGGAACACCAGUGGCGAAGGCGACUUCCUGGCCUGUUCUUGACGCUGAGGCGCGAAAGCUAGGGGAGCAAACGGG